rnacentral:rRNA from 1 species
GACGAACGCUGGCGGCGUGCUUAAUACAUGCAAGUCGAACGGACCGAUUCUGGUAGUUUGCUAUUGGGGAGGGGUAGUGGCGGACGGAACACUAACGUAUGGGCAAUCUGACCCUGGGACCGCUAUAACAGAGCGAAGGUUCUACUAAGACCGGAUACUCUUAACCAGCCGCAUGUUUGGUAAAGGAAAGGGAACGGGUAGGAAUGAGGCCGCGUCCCAUUGGCGGGUUGGUGGGGUAACGGCACACCAAGGCAACGAUGGGUAGCUGGGAGGAGAGCGUGGACGGCCACACUGGGACUGAGACACGGCCCAGACUCGUACGGGAGGCAGCAGUAGGGAAUUUUAGGCAAUGGGCGGAAGCCUGACCGAGCAACGCCGCGUGAGGGACGAAGGUCUUCGGAUCGUAAACCUUUGUCAUCGAGGACGAUAAUGACGGUACUCGAGGAGGAAGCCCCGGCUAACUACGUG